rnacentral:rRNA from 1 species
GUCUAGAAAUUUGGGCAAUGGGCGAAAGCCUGACCCAGCGACACCGUGUGGAGGAUGAAGUCCUUCGGGAUGUAAACUCCUUACAGGAGGAACGAUGCCGUCUGUGAGUAACUGCUCAGGCGGUGACGGUACUUCCAGAGGAAGCCCCGGCUAACUACGUGCCAGCAGCCGCGGUAAUACGUAGGGGGCAAGCGCUGUCCGGAUUUACUGGGCGUAAAGGGUGUGUAGGCGGACUGGCGUGUCGAUGGUGAAAGCUCACGGCUCAACCGGGAAAUUGCUGUCGAAACUACCAGUCUUGAGGGCGGAAGAGGAAACUGGAACUUCCGGUGUAGCGGUAAAAUGCGUAGAUAUCGGAAGGAACGCCAACAGCGAAGGCAGGUUUCUGGGACGCCCCUGACGCUGAAACACGAAAGUUAGGGGAGCAAACAGGAUUAGAUACCCGGGUAGUCC